CGUGUGUUUGCUAAAUCCUAAAACUAUUUUUGUAGAAAUUCUAUUUUGGUUUGACAAAUUACUUCCGGGUUUAAUUAGACCUAGCCUCUCGUCUCUUAAUUUGUCACGAAAAUAUAAAUUGGUAAAACUCGUAUUUUUGUUUGAGACUUUUGUUGGCCCAAAAGCCCACUAAACCAACCCCUAAGUUUUCCUAACCUGUAAAGCUACCCUAAUCCCUUCUUUUUUUUUCUUCCUCUUCAUUUCUUUUCCUCCAAGCCGCCGCCGCUCUCCUCUUUCUUCCUCACCCGAUCCCCUUCUUCUUCCUCCUCCUGCCGCCGCCACCCUCCCAUGGCCGGCGCGCCCUCAAGGCUCCCUCUCCCCGCGGCCUUCCUCCCGCGACCCCCUGGCCACGCGCGCCGCCGGCGCUGCCUCUCCCUUCCCGUGGCCGCCCAGCUCCUCGCCGCCCUUGCUCCCCACG
rnacentral:lncRNA from 1 species